rnacentral:rRNA from 1 species
CCUACGGGUGGCAGCAGUAGGGAAUCUUCCACAAUGGGCGAAAGCCUGAUGGAGCAAAGCCGCGUGGGUGAAGAAGGUCGUCGGAUGGUAAAACCCUGUUGUUAGAGAAGAAAGUGCGGGAGAGUAACUGUUCACGUGUCGACGGUAUCAAAGCAGAAAGCCAAGGCUAACUACGUGCCAGCAGCCGCGGUAAGACGUAGGUGGCAAGCGUGAUCCGGAUUUAUUGGGCGUAACGGGAACGCAGGCGGUCUUUUAAGUCUGAUGUGAAAGCCUUCGGCUUAACCGGAGUAGUGCAUUGGCAACUGGGAGACUUGAGUGCAUCAGAGGCGAGUGGAACUCCAUGUGUAGCGG